UAUAGUACCUAUUACCACCAUAUUAAUACUAAUAAUUAAUAUUAUUUUAUAUUGUUAAUUAUUUUCAGGGCGUAAAAUGUUUAACGUGGUUAUAUAUAACCCGGAUUAGGAUAUAACCCGGAUCACUUUUUAAAACGCGUUUACUUCUAACCUAAAUUACAACGCCAGCGUUAUUUAUUUAAUUAUAAUACAAUCGGGAUUAUAUAUAUUAAAUAUUUUUUUAUUUUUAUAACAGGUGGGCGAAUUAUAUCCGGUAUUACCGCAAUUGCCAUAACGCCGUUUGGUGGUAUAUUACGCAUUAUUUCCUUCCCCAUUUUUAUCUUUUUGCUCCUAUAUCGAACCAUUUUCGUUUUUUAAUUGCAACAAAUUUUAAAUUUUUUAUACCGUAAAUAACCCUCCUUCGCGGAGACGUAUUUUUUUGGCCCUGCGUCGUUUGUUAAACGCUUCGUUAAUUUUCCGAAAAUUGUGGUUUUCUGUUUUAAAAAAUAUAAUUCGAUAAAUAAUUAAUUUUAAUCCUUUUGCCAAUUAUUUUAUUACUUUAAUAAUUGGUGUAGGAAAACUAUUUUAAUAAUAGCCAAUUCGAAUUUUAACAAACGUUAAUUAAUAAAUAUAUUAAUAGGCCUUUCGUAAAUCGAUCGAUUAACAAAAUAUUAUUAUUGGGUAAAAGGUAAUAUAUUUUUAUCUAACGACUAAUUUAUUUACGUUCGAGUUUCUAAUCGUCUUUUUCCUUUUAUACCCGUAAUUGAAGGUCGGAUGAAUUACGUGCGGGUUUACACGUAAAUUACCGAUUAAAUUAAUAAAUUAAACGCAAUCCUUUCUAUUCCAAUACCGGCAAUUUUUUUCUUUUUUCGCGUUUAAAAAUCUUUAAACCUAUUUUGUAUAAUAAACGAAAAAUUCGAAAACGGUUAUAUCGUCUUUACAAUUUUUUUUAAAUUUUUUAAUCGUUAUUUUAAUAUUUUGGCCGAAUUUUUUAUAUUUUCCGGAAUUAAUUAUAGAAUUUUUUAUUGUGGGCGCUAUUUUAAUUGGAACGUGGUCCCGGAAAUAAUAAUUUAAAUAACCUUAUUUAACGUUAUUAUUAUUCGUUUAAUUUAUUAUUCGACAACCACAACGGCCUUUUUAAUUAACUGCAAAUUUUUUAAUAACCAUUUCGUUUAUAAAAAAAAAUUUUUCGCUAUAAAUUCGACGAUAUUUUGUACUGUUUAUA
rnacentral:sRNA from 1 species